AUUGAACGCUGGCGGCAGGCCUAACACAUGCAAGUCGAACGAGCGGCGGACGGGUGAGUAAUGUCUGGGAAACUGCCCGAUGGAGGGGGAUAACUACUGGAAACGGUAGCUAAUACCGCAUACCAUCGGAUGUGCCCAGAUGGGAUUCGCUGGUAGGAGGGGUAACGGCUCACCUAGGCGACGAUCCCUAGCUGGUCUGAGAGGAUGACCAGCCACACUGGGACUGAGAUACGGUCCAGACUCCUACGGGAGGCAGCAGUGGGGAAUAUUGCACAAUGGGCGCAAGCCUGAUGCAGCCAUGCCGCGUGUAUGAAGAAGGCCUUCGGGUUGUAAAGUACUUUCAGUGGGGAGGCGUUACUCACAGAAGAAGCACCGGCUAACUACGUGCCAGCAGCCGCGGUAAUAC
rnacentral:rRNA from 1 species